GGAAUAUUUGAACUACAAGGUUCUCCAAGAAAAGCUCAAGGAAAAGAAAGCAAUCAAGAAAGAAGAAAACACAGUGGAAAAUAAAUCUGAUUCUCUCAAGAGGAGGAAGAAAAAAGGGCAGGUGGCCAGAAACUCCAAAAAGAAGGUGAAGCCCAGCAUUCUGCCGACAGGGCAAGUUGGAAAAUUUAAGAAUGGGACCCUUAUUCUUCGUAGCUGUGACAUAAAGAAAAUCAAAUCUUCCAAACUGAUUAAAUGACAUCACUGAAUCAUGUUUGCCCAGAAAAUGAGAUGAAUGUACUUUGUAGUCAAAACCCUUUUUAAAAAAAAAUAUUUAAUCUUUGUAAAUCUUGAUUUCUCAUCACCUGCUCUGCUGUGUAGAAAAGUGUGAUGAUGGAAUGUUGUACCACUAACUGAACUAGGAGACAUCAACAGUGUUGCUAUUCCUAUCAUCCUGAUUAAACAGCUGUCAGUGCUUCCCAAAGGUAAUUGUCUGGGUAUUCUGCUGUUUAUGUAAUUUUUAAUUGUUUGUUAGUGCACAAUCAUUAAAAG